CCUCGAGAUAAAAGGCCAGAUUUCCUAGUUCCUAGUCAUUACUCGCUUCAUUGAACGCAAAAGUUAGCACAGGAACAUUUCCUAAUUAACAUUUGUUGUUUUAUGCAUG